rnacentral:rRNA from 1 species
AUACGUAGGGGGCGAGCGUUGUCCGGAAUGAUUGGGCGUAAAGGGCGCGUAGGCGGCUUUGCAAGUCAGUAGUGGAAGUCCAUUUUUCGAGGAUGGAAGUGCUACAGAAACUGCGGAGCUUGAGUGCAGGAGAGGUUAUCGGAAUUCCCGGUGUAGCGGUGAAAUGCGUAGAGCUCGGGAGGAACACCAGUGGCGAAGGCGGGUAACUGGACUGCAACUGACGCUGAGGCGCGAAAGUGUGGGGAGCAAACAGGAUUAGAUACCCUGGUAGUCCACACUGUAAACGAUGAAUGCUAGGUGUAGGAGGUAUCGACCCCUUCUGUGCCGCAGUAAACACAGUAAGCAUUCCGCCUGGGGAGUACGGUCGCAAGAUUAAAACUCAAAUGAAUUGGCGGGG